UUCACGAUUGUACCAUUUUUGUCAAUUUUGUUUUUUAUAGUAGGCCAAUAUAGUAGGAGAUUGGUUGGCAACACUAUCAAUCAAUUAUCAAUUAUAUGGGGACGCCACUGUUAGAAUGUUCUAAAGUUGUUUUAGGAGGUGGUCCCAGUAAGGAACCAAAAGAAGAUCCAAAUAUUGACAGAGUAAUUUCCCUCAUUAAAACUAAUGUAGAAGGUUUCAGCAAAAUCUAUGACUUAGACUCUCUAUUCAAACUUUAGACAACGACUCAACUGCUGAAAAUGGAAACUUUGAAUGAGCUCGAGAUAUGUCAAGAUGAGUAUAACUAUGCUUUGGAAUCUGAGGUUCCAAAUGUGAGGCUUUAACAACUACUAUCCUCAGAGAGGAUCACCCGAAGGGACACUCCAUCUUCUGCCUCCUUGGGCUGCCAACGACCCAGCUUUUCCAGGGACCACUAAGCCACCAUCGCCUACCACCAGGAAGGAUAAUGAUUAUGCCAACUUUAUUACCGCCAGGAAUAAACUAUAUUCAACAUUUAAAGAAAAUCAUUGGAGUCAUUUUCAAGAUCUUGGUACAAGCAAUUCCUAGAGGAACUAACUCCGAUGCAAGAGCUGGAGUUGGACUUGUCGUUCCAGAGUCAGAGUAGUUCUUUCGGAGUAGUUCGUUCCGGAGUUACUCACCUCUGAUCACAUCAUCAGUCCACUAGAAAACUCCAAACCAGAUGAUCUGGGUGUAAUUUCUAUACACUUUUUCAUCGAGUAUGAGGAACACUUCAAUUCUUACCUAGGCAGCAUAGAGAAGAUACAGCUCGUACAGGUUACCUGAGGUUUUGAUGGUGUACAGAGUCUAUGACAGACCUCAACAUCCUGUCGACUAACCAGAUUCAUCCGAAACUUUCGAGUCAGUGAGUUACUAUGGCUGAACGUUGGCUGAACAUCGUAGUUCUACUGAUAGAGAUUACUAAAUAGAUAAGUAUUACAAUCAUGUGAUGAAAAUUUUUAUAUUGAGUAGAUAUUAUUAGAAAUUUAUUGUUUUAAUCACGGAAUAUAUAUAGCCUACUGUCUGAUAUAGAUUAAUCCUUGAACUAAAAUAUAAAAUUAUAGUUGAGAUUGUUCAGGGUCAGGUGUUAACUACAGUAAACUUAUUUCAUGCCACUGUCAUUAUCACGAUUACAUGUCUUCUCUAUAUUUUGUUAUCAUCGGAGACAUUUAAAAGAAAAAAUAAACAAUAAAUAAACAAAUCAUAGCUACACAAAACAACAACAAAUGCACAAAUUUAAGUUACAAUCAUUGAAAAUAACAGUAAUUAAACACUUGAGAUCCAGUGCUUGGUCUAUCAUAUCAAUGCCGUUUGUCAUUUACAGUGAUUCUCAGACAGAUGCCUAGUGUCAUGUACAACUUAAACUUAUAGUGAAGUACCAAUUAUUGGGAAACUAUAUUUUGAGUUAGUACAUGCCUAGAAGACCAGGGUCCCAGUGGAAAAUACACAAAAAAAAAGUCAGUACCUUGAUGUUGGACCGCCUAAAUGGCCAGUACAUGCAGUGGGAAGACUUUAAAGUGUGUUAGUACACGCCUGUGUCUUUUGCUAUACUCUGUGAAUCACUGUUAAUGACAAACUGAAUUGAUUACAUAGACCCAGCAAAAUUACAAAGCCAAAUGUUACCAAAAUACAGUAAAACUGCAACAUUAAUCAUUUAUAGUACUUGAUUAGGGAUAAUGUUAGACUUUUUAGUUAUGUUAAAGUUGAAAUAUAUUAUUUUCAAGAUUAAAGAAAUGAUUCAAAAUUAAAUAAAAAUCUUCUUUGUUUUGAUUUUAUACUUUUUUGUAAAUUUACUUAUUUUAUUAAAAAAAAUUACAAUAAACUAGGUAGGGGGGAUUUAAAAGUUUUAAUCAAGAACUAAGUUUAUCUCAACAUACCAUUUUUGUCUUUUCUUAUUUGAUGAUAGACAAUUUCCACUACUACUGUAUUUCACUCACUCUUUUUUAUUAUCCCACCUAAUCAUUUACUUGUGAUGUUAUUACAGGAAACUUUCGAGUCAGUGAGUUACUAUGGCUGAACGUUGGCUGAACAUCGUAGUUCUACUGAUAGAGAUUACUAAAUAGAUAAGUAUUACAAUCAUGUGAUGAAAAUUUUUAUAUUGAGUAGAUAUUAUUAGAAAUUUAUUGUUUUAAUCACGGAAUAUAUAUAGCCUACUGUCUGAUAUAGAUUAAUCCUUGAACUAAAAUAUAAAAUUAUAGUUGAGAUUGUUCAGGGUCAGGUGUUAACUACAGUAAACUUAUUUCAUGCCACUGUCAUUAUCACGAUUACAUGUCUUCUCUAUAUUUUGUUAUCAUCGGAGACAUUUAAAAGAAAAAAUAAACAAUAAAUAAACAAAUCAUAGCUACACAAAACAACAACAAAUGCACAAAUUUAAGUUACAAUCAUUGAAAAUAACAGUAAUUAAACACUUGAGAUCCAGUGCUUGGUCUAUCAUAUCAAUGCCGUUUGUCAUUUACAGUGAUUCUCAGACAGAUGCCUAGUGUCAUGUACAACUUAAACUUAUAGUGAAGUACCAAUUAUUGGGAAACUAUAUUUUGAGUUAGUACAUGCCUAGAAGACCAGGGUCCCAGUGGAAAAUACACAAAAAAAAAGUCAGUACCUUGAUGUUGGACCGCCUAAAUGGCCAGUACAUGCAGUGGGAAGACUUUAAAGUGUGUUAGUACACGCCUGUGUCUUUUGCUAUACUCUGUGAAUCACUGUUAAUGACAAACUGAAUUGAUUACAUAGACCCAGCAAAAUUACAAAGCCAAAUGUUACCAAAAUACAGUAAAACUGCAACAUUAAUCAUUUAUAGUACUUGAUUAGGGAUAAUGUUAGACUUUUUAGUUAUGUUAAAGUUGAAAUAUAUUAUUUUCAAGAUUAAAGAAAUGAUUCAAAAUUAAAUAAAAAUCUUCUUUGUUUUGAUUUUAUACUUUUUUGUAAAUUUACUUAUUUUAUUAAAAAAAAUUACAAUAAACUAGGUAGGGGGGAUUUAAAAGUUUUAAUCAAGAACUAAGUUUAUCUCAACAUACCAUUUUUGUCUUUUCUUAUUUGAUGAUAGACAAUUUCCACUACUACUGUAUUUCACUCACUCUUUUUUAUUAUCCCACCUAAUCAUUUACUUGUGAUGUUAUUACAGGAAACUUUCGAGUCAGUGAGUUACUAUGGCUGAACGUUGGCUGAACAUCGUAGUUCUACUGAUAGAGAUUACUAAAUAGAUAAGUAUUACAAUCAUGUGAUGAAAAUUUUUAUAUUGAGUAGAUAUUAUUAGAAAUUUAUUGUUUUAAUCACGGAAUAUAUAUAGCCUACUGUCUGAUAUAGAUUAAUCCUUGAACUAAAAUAUAAAAUUAUAGUUGAGAUUGUUCAGGGUCAGGUGUUAACUACAGUAAACUUAUUUCAUGCCACUGUCAUUAUCACGAUUACAUGUCUUCUCUAUAUUUUGUUAUCAUCGGAGACAUUUAAAAGAAAAAAUAAACAAUAAAUAAACAAAUCAUAGCUACACAAAACAACAACAAAUGCACAAAUUUAAGUUACAAUCAUUGAAAAUAACAGUAAUUAAACACUUGAGAUCCAGUGCUUGGUCUAUCAUAUCAAUGCCGUUUGUCAUUUACAGUGAUUCUCAGACAGAUGCCUAGUGUCAUGUACAACUUAAACUUAUAGUGAAGUACCAAUUAUUGGGAAACUAUAUUUUGAGUUAGUACAUGCCUAGAAGACCAGGGUCCCAGUGGAAAAUACACAAAAAAAAAGUCAGUACCUUGAUGUUGGACCGCCUAAAUGGCCAGUACAUGCAGUGGGAAGACUUUAAAGUGUGUUAGUACACGCCUGUGUCUUUUGCUAUACUCUGUGAAUCACUGUUAAUGACAAACUGAAUUGAUUACAUAGACCCAGCAAAAUUACAUAUUUAUUUUCUGUAUUAGGCCUACUUAAAGAUAUUACUAUUAUGUUUUCAUUGUCCAUUACACUGCAAACUGAGUUUUUAACUCAUCAACCAAAUAAUAUUAAAUGUUAAAUGCAAUAAUUUUAAUGUCAAUGACUACAUUCUUUAUAUAGGAGUUCAUUAAGUUGUAUACAAUUAAACCUUGAAAAUAAUGAUUUAUCUUUACCUUGUGUGUUUAUAGAUCUGGGUGCAAUUUCUAUACAUUUCUUCAUUGAAUAUGGAGAACACUUCAAUUCUUACCUAGGCAGCAUGAUGUACAGAGUCUGUGAUAGACAUCUACAACCUGUCAACUCACCAGAUUCAUCUGUUCAGUACCAGCCUGCUGUUAUAUCUGGGUUUAGAGUCUCCAGACACAUGGGAGUAAAUGUGAAGAUUAAUGUAUUUACAAAAAUUAGUAUAAUCUAGUAAUUGUAUAACUUUACCCUAGUGUUUAUACUUAUUUGAAAUAAAUUUUAUAUUUUUUGUGUU